AGAAUCAACGCUGGCGGCGUGCCUCAGACAUGCAAGUCGAACGCGAAAGUUCCCUUCGGGGGGCGAGUAGAGUGGCGCACGGGUGAGUAACACGUAGGUAAUCCACCUUCGGAUGGGGAAUAACAACCGGAAACGGUUGCUAAUACCGCAUAAUGCAGCGGCACCUAAUGGUGACAGUUGUUAAAGCGGGGGAUCGAAAGACCUCGCGUCUGAAGAGGAGCCUGCGGCGGAUUAGCUAGUUGGUAAGGUAAUGGCUUACAAGGCUACGAUCC
rnacentral:rRNA from 1 species